GUGAGGAAUAUUGCGCAAUGGAGGCAACUCUGACGCAGCCAUGCCGCGUGCAGGAAGAAGGCGCUACGCGUUGUAAACUACUUUUAACCGGGAAGAAACCCCAGGACGUGUCCUGGGUUGACGGUACCGGAGGAAUAAGCACCGGCUAACUUCGUGCCAGCAGCCGCGGUAAUACGAAGGGUGCAAGCGUUAUCCGGAUUCAUUGGGUUUAAAGGGUGCGUAGGCGGAGCGUUAAGUCAGUGGUGAAAUCCUGCAGCUUAACUGUAGACUUGCCAUUGAUACUGGCGCUCUUGAGUGCGCUUGAAGUGGGCGGAAUGUGCCGUGUAGCGGUGAAAUGCUUAGAUAUGGCACAGAACACCAAUUGCGAAGGCAGCUCACUAAGGCGAUACUGACGCUGAGGCACGAAAGCGUGGGGAUCGAACAGGAUUAGAAACCCUGGUAGUCC
rnacentral:rRNA from 1 species